UGUAAUUUGGUUGCAGGUCCAGACAAGAAGCUCUAAGCAACAAUACAAGUUUCGAGUAUGAACAGACUUGCGUAACUGCCGUUGGCUCUGUUUCCUCUCCAUUCAGUCAACUGGACUCUGGUGUAUAUAUAUGGUCACUGUGCUCCAGAGGAAAUGGCCCGUUUCUGCAUCAAGCAUCAACUCAUGGCGAAUUCCCAAGUCCACCUUUCCAUCUUUGAGUGCAUGGUAGUAGAGAUGAUAUUUUCCCUUUGUAACAUGUGUUACUUACCUACUGGUAUGUUCUCCUUGAUCAGGACCACAAUCUGUACCAGAUAACGCAAGAAAAGGAACAAUGACCUUUCUCUGAGGGAGAAAUAAGUACUUUUAUGUCUCAGAUGCUUCAAGGCCUCGCACACAUGCAUAAAAAUAGUUAUUUCCAUCGGCAACUGAAACCAGCAAUAUCCUCAAGAUUGCUGACUUUGGACUGGCUAGCGAAGUUGCAUCUAUGCCUCCUCAAAAAUGUCGCACCAGUUUCAGGUAUGGUCUUGAAUAUUGACACCUUAAACAAUCAAAACACUUCUUCUCUAUGCAGACCGUAGGGUUUCAGCUGAAAGUUUCGAGUGAAGAAAGCAAGAUGACAGCUUUGGAAAUUACAAAGAGUGUAAAGGUAGGCUCAAGAAAUGAUAUGUAGAUGAUAGAGCACAAGCAGUGUAUUAUUAUUGUUUUUGAAGGAAUUACAAUCUCAGUAUUUCUAAUGACCUUGAGCCCAUUUACAAGAGAUUUCUCUCAGUGUUUCAUACAAUCCUA